GUCCAAGAUGGUAGUGUGCUUGAUACCACUAAGUGCCUUUAUAAGGAUAUCAGUCAAUUCUUCAACAAUAGGAACAUGAUGAAAGGAAAUGAGUCCUCCUGAAGCUUCUUUCUAAUAAAGUGACAGUCAACUUCAAUAUGUUUGAUGCGCUCAUAAAAUACAAGAUUUUGGGCUAUAUGGAUUCCAGAUUGUCUAUCACAAUGGACAACAAUGGGAGAUGGAUCAAGAACAUUCAAUUCAGUUCCAAUGAAUCUGAUUCUGAUGAAGAUGAGAUUGCGGUAUUUUGAUAGAAUGCAACACGCUUGCAAUUGAUCUUUUAGGCUGACAUGCUUUAGUUGGGAGCUUUAUUUGUUUCAUCAAGUCCAAAUGUAGUUUUGAGGAAGUGGAAACACUGUGGAGAUGAAGAAAGAGGCUGCAAGAUCGACUAUAAUAGCAUUUGACUUAUGCUUUUCGUUUAUUAUAUUCAGGCAUGUGAGCCUGUUAUGUUUUUAUGCAGUAAAUGAAUGUUUUAGACAAUGUUUGUUUUGGUUACAUUCCAAUGGAGAUUGUUGCUUAUUAGUAAUUUGGAGCUAUCAAAGUUUUCUCUAUGUAUGAGGUGUUUUUGUGUAUUUAUGCUAGUGUGUUGAAAAUAAAGGAAA